UACAGAGGGGGGCGAGCGUUGUUCGGAAUUACUGGGCGUAAAGGGGCGUGUAGGCGGGGAAGGAAAGUCAGAUGUGAAAUCCCUGGGCUCAACCCAGGAACUGCAUUUGAAACUCCCUUUCUUGAGUGUCGGAGAGGAAGUGGAAUUCCUGGUGUAGAGGUGAAAAUUCGUAGAUAUCAGGAGGAACACCGGUGGCGAAGGCGGCUUUCUGGAC
rnacentral:rRNA from 1 species